UACGUAGGUGGCAAGCGUUGUCCGGAUUUACUGGGCGUAAAGAGCGCGCAGGCGGUCGUUCAAGUCGCGUGUGAAAGCCCCCGGCUCAACUGGGGAGGGUCACGCGAUACUGAUCGACUCGAAGGCAGGAGAGGGUAGUGGAAUUCCUGGUGUAGCGGUGAAAUGCGUAGAGAUCAGGAAGAACACCGGUGGCGAAAGCGCUCUGCUGGACCUGCACUGACACUGAGGGACGAAAGCUAGGGGAGCGAAAGGG
rnacentral:rRNA from 1 species